rnacentral:rRNA from 1 species
UACGUAGGGAGCAAGCGUUGUCCGGAUUUACUGGGUGUAAAGGGUGCUCAGGUGGAUUUAUAAGUCAGAGGUGAAAAUCCGAAGCUUAACUUCGGAACUGCCUUUGAUACUGUAAGUCUAGAGUUUGAGAGAGGGCAAUGGAAUAUCUGGUGUAGCAGUGAAAUGCGUAGAUAUCAGAUAGAACACCAAUGGCGAAGGCAGUUGCCUGGCUCAAUACUGACACUAAAGCACGAAAGUGUGGGUAGCAAACAGGAUUAGAUACCCUCGUA